AUGCUUACCUGGCAGGGAAGAUACCAUGAUUAUGAAAGUGAUUUUCCCUGGGUGAGGCUUAUCUUUUGCACUCUGGAUGUGCUGACCCUUCUGAUUUCCCUAAAUGUGGGAAGUUCAACUGCAUUAUUUGUGGCAGUGGGAGACUGUGUUGGCACUUUCCUUUG